UGAGGGAUAUUGCACAAUGGGCGCAAGCCUGAUGCAGCAACGCCGCGUGAAGGAUGAAGGUCUUCGGAUUGUAAACUUCUGUUUUCGAUGACGAACACAAUGACGGUAAUCGAAGAGCAAGCCACGGCUAACUACGUGCCAGCAGCCGCGGUAAUACGUAGGUGGCAAGCGUUGUCCGGAAUUACUGGGUGUAAAGGGAGCGCAGGCGGGAGAGCAAGUCAGUGGUGAAAUGUAUGGGCUUAACCCAUGAACUGCCAUUGAAACUGUUUUUCUUGAGUGAAGUAGAGGUAGGCGGAAUUCCGAGUGUAGCGGUGAAAUGCGUAGAUAUUCGGAGGAACACCAGUGGCGAAGGCGGCCUACUGGGCUUUAACUGACGCUGAGGCUCGAAAGUGUGGGGAGCAAACAGG
rnacentral:rRNA from 1 species